GGACCCGCACAAGCGGUGGAGUAUGUGGUUUAAUUCGAUGCAACACGAAGAACCUUACCAGGGUUUGAAAUCAUUUCAAAACUCCUUGAAAGAGGAGCCUCCUUCGGGAUGAAAUGACAGGUGGUGCAUGGCUGUCGUCAGCUCGUGUUGUGAAAAUGUCGAGUUAAGUCUCGUAACGAGCGCAACCCAUGUCUCUUGUUGCUCACUGAGUGCUUAAGAGAGACUGCCGACCAACAUCGGAGGAAGGUGUGGAUGAUGUCAAGUCAGCAUGCCCCUUACAUCCUGGGCUACACACGUGCUACAAUGGCCGGUACAAACGGUUGCGAACCCGCGAGGGGAAGCUAA
rnacentral:rRNA from 1 species